rnacentral:rRNA from 1 species
GUAGGGAGCAAACGUUGUCCGGAUUUAUUGGGCGUAAAGGGCUCGUAGGCGGUUCAACAAGUCGGUCGUGAAAACCCGGGGCUCAACCCCGGGACGCCGGUCGAAACUGUUGUGACUAGAGUUCGGUAGAGGUGAGUGGAAUUCUCGGUGUAGCGGUGGAAUGCGCAGAUAUCGAGAGGAACACCAUUAGCGAAGGCGGCUCACUGGGCCGAUACUGACGCUGAGGAGCGAAAGCGUGGGGAGCAAACAGGAUUAGAUACCCUGGUAGUCCACGCCGUAAACGAUGAACACUAGGUGUGGCGGACUGAUUCAUGUCUGCUGCGCCGUAGCUAACGCAUUAAGUGUUCCGCCUGGGGAGUACGGCCGCAAGGCUA